AGCGGCGAACGGGUGAGUAACACGUAGGUGAUCUGCCCAUCGGACGGGGACAACGAUUGGAAACGAUCGCUAAUACCGGAUAGGACGAAAGUUUAAAGGUGCUUCUGGCACCGCUGAUGGAUGAGCCUGCGGCGCAUUAGCUAGUUGGUAGGGUAAAGGCCUACCAAGGCGACGAUGCGUAGCCGACCUGAGAGGGUGAACGGCCACACUGGGGCUGAGACACGGCCCAGACUCCUACGGGAGGCAGCAGUAGGGAAUCUUCGGCAAUGGGCGAAAGCCUGACCGAGCAACGCCGCGUGAAUGAUGAAGGCCUUCGGGUUGUAAAAUUCCGUUAUAAGGGAAGAACGACUUUAGUAGGAAAUGGCUAGAGUGUGACGGUACCUUAUGAGAAAGCCACGGCUAACUACGUGCCAGCAGCCGCGGUAAUACGUAGGUGGCGAGCGUUAUCCGGAAUUAUUGGGCGUAAAGAGCGCGCAGGUGGUUGAUUAAGUCCGAUGUGAAAGCCCACGGCUUAACCGUGGAGGGUCAUUGGAAACUGGUCGACUUGAGUGCAGAAGAGGGAAGUGGAAUUCCAUGUGUAGCGGUGAUAUGCGUAGAGAUAUGGAGGAACACCAGUGGCGAAGGCGGCUUCCUGGUCUGUAACUGACACUGAGGCGCGAAAGCGUGGGGAGCAAACAGGAUUAGAUACCCUGGUAGUCCACGCCGUAAACGAUGAGUGCUAAGUGU
rnacentral:rRNA from 1 species